rnacentral:tRNA from 1 species
ACCUGGCUGGCUCAGUUGGAAGAGCACGUGACUCUUGAUCUCAGGUUUGUAAGUUCAAGUCCCACGUUGGGUG